UGCGGUUCUAUUUUGUUGGUUUCUAGGAUCGCCGUAAUGAUUAAUAGGAACGGUCGGGGGGCAUUAGUAUUCCGUUGCUAGAGGUGAAAUUCUUAGAUUUACGGAAGACUAACAACUGCGAAAGCAUUUGCCAAGGACGUUUUCAUUGAUCAAGAACGAAGGUUAGGGGAUCAAAAACGAUUAGAUACCGUCGUAGUCUCUUCAGUAAACUAUGCCGUCUUUGAAUGGGGAAGCGAUUUAAGUUUGAAGAGCUGUAAAAAGGUUUGGAAAACUAAUGUCCAUCUCCGCGCAAUAAAAGAAAUUAAGAGAUUUUGGGUUCCGGGGGAGUAUUUUCGCAAGGAAGAAACUUAAAGGAAUUGACGGAAGGGCACCACCAGGUGUGGAGCUUGCGGCUUAAUUUGACUCAACACGGGGAAUCUUACCAGUCCAGAAAGCGUGAGGA
rnacentral:rRNA from 1 species